GAGUUUGAUCCUGGCUCAGGAUGAACGCUAGCGGGAGGCUUAACACAUGCAAGUCGAGGGGUAACAUGAGGUAGCAAUACUUUGAUGACGACCGGCGCACGGGUGAGUAACACGUAUGCAACCUACCCUGUACAGGGGGAUAGCCCGGAGAAAUUCAGAUUAAUACCCCAUAAAGAUAUUUAGAGGCAUCUUUAAAUAUUUAAAGCUUCGGCGGUACGGGAUGGGCAUGCGCAACAUUAGCUAGUUGGUAGGGUAACGGCCUACCAAGGCUACGAUGUUUAGGGGACCUGAGAGGGUGAUCCCCCACACUGGUACUGAGACACGGACCAGACUCCUACGGGAGGCAGCAGUGAGGAAUAUUGGUCAAUGGGCGUAAGCCUGAACCAGCCGUCCCGCGUGAAGGAAGAAGGCGCUAUGCGUUGUAAACUUCUUUUCCAGGGGAAGAAAACCCGCUACGUGUAGCGGCUUGCCGGUACCCUGGGAAUAAGCAUCGGCUAACUCCGUGCCAGCAGCCGCGGUAAUACGGAGGAUGCGAGCGUUAUCCGGAUUUAUUGGGUUUAAAGGGUGCGUAGGCGGAUUAAUAAGUCAGUGGUGAAAACCUGCAGCUUAACUGUAGAAUUGCCAUUGAUACUGUUAGUCUUGAGUAC
rnacentral:rRNA from 1 species